rnacentral:rRNA from 1 species
UACAGAGGGUGCGAGCGUUAAUCGGAAUUAUUGGGCGUAAAGCGUCCGCAGGUGGUGUUUCAAGUCUGCCGUUAAAGACCGGGGCUCAACCCCAGAAAGGCGGUGGAAACUGAAGCGCUAGAGUGCGGUAGGGGUAGAGGGAAUUCCCGGUGUAGCGGUGAAAUGCGUAGAGAUCGGGAAGAACAUCGGUGGCGAAAGCGCUCUACUGGACCGCAACUGACACUCAGGGACGAAAGCUAGGGGAGCGAAUGGG